AAUACGGAGGGUCCAAGCGUUAAUCGGAAUUACUGGGCGUAAAGCGCGCGUAGGCGGUUUGUCAAGUUGGAUGUGAAAUCCCUGGGCUCAACCUAGGAACUGCAUUCAAAACUUAUAGACUAGAGUACGAUAGAGGAGAGUAGAAUUCCUGGUGUAGCGGUGAAAUGCGUAGAUAUCAGGAGGAAUACCAAUGGCGAAGGCAACUCUCUGGAUCGACACUGACGCUGAGGUGCGAAAGCGUGGGUAGCAAACAGGAUUAGAUACCCUGGUAGUCCACGCCGUAAACGAUGAGAACUAGCCGUUGGAUCUUAGAUUCAGUGGUACAGCUAACGCAUUAAGUUCUCCGCCUGGGGAGUACGGCCGCAAGGCUAAAACUCAAAUGAAUUGACGGGGGCCCGCACAAGCGGUGGAGCAUGUGGUUUAAUUCGAUGCAACGCGAAAAACCUUACCAACCCUUGACAUCUAGUGAAAUUUCUAGAGAUAGAUUUGUGCCUUCGGGAACACUAUGACAGGUGUUGCAUGGCUGUCGUCAGCUCGUGUCGUGAGAUGUAUGGUUAAGUCCAGUAACGAGCGCAACCCCUAUUCUUAUUUGCCAGCACUUCGGGUGGGAACUAUAAGGAGACCGCCGUGUAUAACACGGAGGAAGGCGGGGACGACGUCAAGUCAUCAUGGCCCUUACGGGUUGGGCUACACACGUGCUACAAUGGGAGAUACAGAUGGUUGCGAAAGCGCGAGCUGGAGCUAAUCCCAAAAAGUCUUCCUCAGUCCGGAUUGGAGUCUGCAACUCGACUCCAUGAAGCAGGAAUCGCUAGUAAUCGUGAAUCAGAAUGUCACGGUGAAUACGUUCUCGGGCCUUGUACACACCGCCCGUCACGUCAUGGGAGUGUGUUGCACCAGAAGUGGUUUGCCUAACCUUUGGAGGGCGGCCCCCACGGUGUGAUACGCGACUGG
rnacentral:rRNA from 1 species